AUGGCCUUUCCUUCCCAAAAUAACCGGGAGAGCAACGCCCCAGGAAUGGGAGCUGUUAUCCCACAUCAGAGGGGUUUGUGCAAGCUGAGCCUGGAUUUCACCGUGGGUCACGGUGCCCACGGGACAUUCCCAAUCUGCUCCCCACACCUCCUCUCUGGAGACUCACCCUGGAUUCACACCAGGCACGACCUUUCCCACAAUGGGAGCUGCCUCCGUUGGGAAAGGCUGGUGAGAGUGCAAGGGCUGCAGUUCCAAGAGCUGUUCUUCCAGGGGCUGGUGCUGUUCCAGGGGCUGCAGUUCCAGGGGCUGCAGUUCCAGGGGCUGCAGUUCCAGGGGCUGCAGUUCCAGGGGCUGGUGCAGUUCCAGGGGCUGCAGUUCCAGGGGCUGUGCUCCAGGGCCUGUGCUCCUGGGGCUGGUGUGCCAUGGCCAGCAGUGAGGUGUCACCCCAGCCCCACAGGCUGGCCCUGGGGGCUGUCACUGCCACUGCCCUGCUGUAGCACAGCCCAGCUUUAUUCCCAAAUCCCUGGGGUUCAUCCAUGCCAAGGCCGGAGCUGGUUGUCAGCACGUGUUCCCAAAACCAGCGCUGCUGUGCCAUGUGUGGCCUUCCCCCCGGUUUUCCUCCCUUUUUUGUGCCCAACACCGCAGAGCUGGAGCCAAAGCCCCGUCAGAUCCAUCCUGGAUGUCCCUCACGUGCCCCAAUCCCUGCUUUGGGGCGAGCUCCGUGUGUUCAGGGGGGGCACAGGGGAAUGCAGAGGAAUGCCCAUGGCACAAGGCCGGAGCAGGAGCUGCUGCCAGGCUCUCCCAGGGGAUGAGGCCGGGCUGAGCCCCAGGGAAGGGAGCCACGCUCCAGCACUGGGAACAGCAGGAAUGGGGACAGACAGGGCUUGGCCCCUCUGUGCCCAGCCCAUCCCUCAGCCCUGGCUCCUGGAGCACCCCUCACUCACACCAGAGCCACAGGGGAGCAGCUGGGGCUGCCCUGGACCCCUGGCAGUGUCCCAGUGGACACUGGGCUGGAGCAGCCUGGGACAGGGGGAGAUGUCCCUGCCAUGGCAGGGCUGGGAAUGGCUGGAUUUAAGCUCCCUCCCAACUCAAACCGGUCUGGGAUUCCGGGAUUCCAGGAUCUUCCACCUGUUGAUUUCACUUCCCAUUGCCAGUGUUUCCUCACCCCCUGCCAUGGAUGGAUCCUGUGGCUGGGCUCAGGCUGCCUGGAGGGCUCUGCUGUCUCUGGAGUUGGUUUGUGAUGGGAUUUGA
rnacentral:lncRNA from 1 species